GGCUGCCCCUGGAUCCCUGGAAGUGUCCAAGGCCAGGUUGGACAGGGCUUGGAGCAACCUGGUCUGGUGGAAAGUGCCCCUGCCCAUGGCAGUGGGGUGGAACGAGAUGAGCUCUAAGGUCCCAUCCAGUCAGGAUUCUAUGACUCUCCGUUCUGUUGGGCAGUGGCAGUUGGGACCUGCUGCAGUGGCAGUUGGAAGUGGUGCAGUGCCAGUUGGAACAAGCUCUGGUGGCAGAGCCAGAGUUUGCACACACUGCGCAGAUCCCUCUUGCAGGUUCCUUAGAAAGAGAGCUUGGACGGCAUGCAAAGUUGUGAAAUAUCUGCAGACAGCACGGAUGAUCCUCUUAGUAGUGGCCUACGGAGAAAGCGACAGCCUCGAAUAGUCGUUAUCGGUGCUGGGCUCGCGGGCCUGUCGGCAGCCAAGGCGCUCCUGGAAAGCGGCUUCACGGAUGUAACUGUCCUUGAGGCGACCGACCGCAUCGGGGGCCGCGUGCAGAGUGUGAAACUCGGGCAUGCCACUGUUGAGCUGGGAGUUA